rnacentral:misc_RNA from 1 species
GCAUUCUUAUGUUUUACCUAGGAAUCUGUGAAGACAAAGCACCCUCAACUUCACUAUGAGUCAAAGCUCUAUAUGCUACUUCAAGGAGGAACGGGUAUUCCCCAUCUGAAAUGGUUUGGAGUUGAGGCUGAUUACAAUGUCAUGGUUAUUGACCUUCUUGGGCCAAGCUUAGAAGACUUGUUUAAUUAUUGCAAUCGGAAGUUUUCAUUGAAAACAGUUUUGAUGCUUGCGGAUCAAUUAAUAAACAGAGUUGAAUAUAUGCACUCACGUGGUUUUCUUCACCGUGAUAUAAAGCCUGACAACUUUUUAAUGGGUUUAGGNAAGCAAAUCAGGUCUACAUCAUUGAUUAUGGCCUUGCAAAAAAGUACAAGGAUCUUCAAACGCACAAGCAUAUACCAUAUAGGGAAAACAAAAAUCUCACAGGCACAGC